GACGUAGGGCGCGAGCGUUGUCCGGAAUUAUUGGGCGUAAAGAGCUCGUAGGCGGCUUGUCGCGUCGGCUGUGAAAUCCCGUGGCUCAACUGCGGGUCUGCAGCCGAUACGGGCAGGCUAGAGUUCGGUAGGGGAGACUGGAAUUCCUGGUGUAGCGGUGAAAUGCGCAGAUAUCAGGAGGAACACCGAUGGCGAAGGCAGGUCUCUGGGCCGAUACUGACGCUGAGGAGCGAAAGCGUGGGGAGCGAACGG
rnacentral:rRNA from 1 species